CACCGCGGUUAAACGAGAGGCCCUAGUUAAUAAUACAACGGCGUAAAGGGUGGUUAAGAAUAAACAACAAAUAAAGCCAAAUGGCCCUUUGGCCGUCAUACGCUUCCAGGUGUCCGAAACCCCAACACGAAAGUAGCUUUAACCCCACCUGACCCCACGAAAGCUGAGAAA
rnacentral:rRNA from 1 species